GAUGAAGAACGUAGCGAAAUGCGAUAAGUAAUGUGAAUUGCAGAAUUCAGUGAAUCAUCGAAUCUUUGAACGCACAUUGCGCCCGCCAGUAUUCUGGCGGGCAUGCCUGUUCGAGCGUCAUUUCAACCAUCAAGCCCCCGGCUUGUGUUGGGGACCUGCGGCUGCCGCAGGCCCUGAAAACCAGUGGCGGGCUCGCUAGUCACUCCGAGCGUAGUAAUACAUCUCGCUCAGGGCGUGCUGCGGGUUCCGGCCGUUAAAAGCCUUAUUUUACCCAAGGUUGACCUCGGAUCAGGUAGGAAGACCCGCUGAACUUAAGCAUAUCAAUAAGCGGAGG
rnacentral:misc_RNA from 1 species